AAGCCGUCUGAUCAUGGGAGGGAUCGUGAGCGGCUGUUGGCCCCGGUCGCCUAACGGCAUUAUCCGCGCUUAUGGCAGAAAACGAGCGUUUGCAAAGGAGCCGCGCUUUCUUUGAUCCCUGCUUCAAGGAAAGCUGCACUUCAGCUGCCUUCAGUGUUAAGACGACUCGAUCGACUUAAAAGCCUGUAAAAAUAAAGGCAAAAUGCUGAUCACUUCGGAGUGUGCGUCUGCACCCCCCACCCCAUGCAGUUCUGCAAAACGCUCCGAAGGCACAGCUUGCAGAAAAGGAUCUCUCAUAGCCUUAACAAAGAUGCGAGAAAAUGUGCUAAAGCUGGGAGAUGUACAGGAGGAUCACUGCGUCGUCAAAAUGACCCGCGAAGAUGUGUCUGUGAGUGGCCAAUCAUGAGCGUGCUAUAAAAUGCUGGUCUGAAGAAGCUCCCAGUAUCAAAAUGCAGUUUUGCAGUCUGAAUGAAUGAAUUAAACACUGAUACGUAGUUCAGGUAUCAUAACACCAA